AUGCCCCCAAACCUCAAUGAACUGAGGUAAUGCUGUAUAGAAGAGUGGGCCUAAAUUCGAUAUGAGAGACUGAUAAAAUCGUAGAGAAAACAAUUACUUUACAUUAUUGCUCCUAAAAGUGAUUCUACAAGCUACGGAAUGUAGUUAGUUUUUCACAGAACUACACAGAGUGCUAAGAAAAAAUUCCCUUUUCACUUGGCUGUAUAUCUGGCCCUUAAACUCACCACAUCUGACAUCAUCUGACAUUGGGAAAUCCCCCUUUCCCAAAUUUGACCUUUACUGAAAUAGAACUCGACAUCCCUGGCCUACAUGAAACCUUUGCUCCCCAUUGUCUUCUUCUGCACAAAGCAAGCUCUGGAUGGUCCCAUUUAAAACAAGUCAAAACUAAUUUUGAAUUCAGAAUUCUUUGAAGUAAAAGAAUAUCAUGUCAGCUGUAACACGUGUGGAAACCAGGUGAACUGGAAACAUUACAUGUAUAGAAGAAGAAUAAAUAUUGACAAAUUCUGGAUCCAAAUGUCGUGCAGUCGGCCAAGAAACCGUGGCUGAAAGAGAAAGAGACGUGAAAAUGUCCGUCUAAAAUCCAUCAUGGAGCAGAGCAAACUGAAGCUUUUGGAAAAGCCCUCACAGUUCCCCUGAUCUGAACACCAUUAAAACUGUGUGGGUAAAUCUUAAACAUAUUGUGCCUGCAAGACAGCCUAAAAUAGCUCAGAACUGAAAGUGCUCGGCAGAGAAGAGUAGGAGAAAACUCCUAAAUCAAGAAUUUAGAAAAAAAAAAUCUUUCCAGGCUACAAAAAGCCUUUGCAAUACAAAAAAAAAAAAAAGGAGACUUCAGAGGAUGUUUCAACACUCCAAAUAUGAAUGACCAACCGGUGUCAGCAGUCAAGAGCACUGUUAAACCGAUUAUGGUUGAAAUGAUUGAAAAAUCAGUCUUCCCAUCCAGGUGUUUGUUUCCUAACUCAAAAACCCCCGAUGUCAAAAUUCAUGGAAAUUUUUGGUCUUCAAAAAAGACUCCGAAUCAUUUUUGUAAUCACAUGAGAACUGAUUUAACAACGCUGUUGGGUCAAAAGUCAAAAUUCUACAUGAAACUCAAGAAUCUCCACAUUUAAUAGUUUAAUUUCCUUGAAAUCUGACUAAAGUUGUAAAAGAGGUCUACAUAGGAUUAAUUUUAAUGUUUUGACCGCCUGACCUGAAUCUGUAAUUCAGUCUUGCAUAACAGUAUCAUUAUCAAGCAGGAUUAGAAAUUUCGUGAGC
ensembl:lncRNA